UACGUAGGGGGCAAGCGUUGUUCGGAAUUACUGGGCGUAAAGGGCGUACAGGCGGUCGUGUAAGUCGGUUGUGAAAUUCUCGGGCUUAACCUGAGGCUUGCAUUCGAAACUGCAUGACUUGAGAUCAGGAGAGGAGAGUGGAAUAUGUGGUGUAGCGGUGAAAUGCGUAGAUAUCACAUAGAACACCGGUGGCGAAGGCGGCUCUCUGGCCUGAUUCUGACGCUGACGCGCGAAAGCUAGGGUAGCGAACGGGAUUAGAUACCCCCGUA
rnacentral:rRNA from 1 species